CAGUCGCCACGGGAAAACGUAGGGGGCAAGCGUUGUCCGGAAUUAUUGGGCGUAAAGCGCGCGCAGGCGGUCAUUUAAGUCUGGUGUUUAAUCCCGGGGCUCAACCCCGGAUCGCACUGGAAACUGGGUGACUUGAGUGCAGAAGAGGAGAGUGGAAUUCCACGUGUAGCGGUGAAAUGCGUAGAUAUGUGGAGGAACACCAGUGGCGAAGGCGACUCUCUGGGCUGUAACUGACGCUGAGGCGCGAAAGCGUGGGGAGCAAACAGGAUUAGAUACCCGGGUAGUCCCUGUCUCUUAUACA
rnacentral:rRNA from 1 species